UUAAGCGACUAAGCGUACACGGUGGAUGCCUAGGCAGUCAGAGGCGAUGAAGGGCGUGCUAAUCUGCGAUAAGCGUCGGCAAGGCGAUAUGAGCCGUUAUACCCGACGAUACCCGAAUGGGGAAACCCAGUGUGUUUCGACACACUAUCACACACUGAAUUCAUAGGUGUGUGAGGCGAACCGGGGGAACUGAAACAUCUCAGUACCCCGAGGAAAAGAAAUCAACCGAGAUUCCCCCAGUAGCGGCGAGCGAACGGGGAGGAGCCCAGAACCAUCAUCGGCGUGUGUGUCAGUGGAAGCGUCUGGAAAGGCGCACGGUACAGGGUGACAGUCCCGUACACGAAGAUGCACAGGCCGUGAGUUCGACGAGUAGGGCGGGACACGUGGUAUCCUGUCUGAACAUGGGGGGACCAUCCUCCAAGGCUAAAUACUCCUGACUGACCGAUAGUGAACCAGUACCGUGAGGGAAAGGCGAAAAGAACCCCGGCGAGGGGAGUGAAAUAGAACCUGAAACCGUGUACGUACAAGCAGUGGGAGCCUUGAUUUAUCAGGGUGACUGCGUACCUUUUGUAUAAUGGGUCAGCGACUUAUAUUCUGUAGCAAGGUUAACCGAAUAGGGGAGCCGCAGGGAAACCGAGUCUUAACUGGGCGUUAAGUUGCAGGGUAUAGACCCGAAACCCGGUGAUCUAGCCAUGGGCAGGUUGAAGGUUGGGUAACACUAACUGGAGGACCGAACCGACUAAUGUUGAAAAAUUAGCGGAUGACUUGUGGCUGGGGGUGAAAGGCCAAUCAAACCGGGAGAUAGCUGGUUCUCCCCGAAAGCUAUUUAGGUAGCGCCUCGUGAAUUCAUCUUCGGGGGUAGAGCACUGUUUCGGCUAGGGGGCCAUCCCGGCUUACCAACCCGAUGCAAACUGCGAAUACCGAAGAAUGUUAUCACGGGAGACACACGGCGGGUGCUAACGUCCGUCGUGAAGAGGGAAACAACCCAGACCGCCAGCUAAGGUCCCAAAGUCAUGGUUAAGUGGGAAACGAUGUGGGAAGGCCCAGACAGCCAGGAUGUUGGCUUAGAAGCAGCCAUCAUUUAAAGAAAGCGUAAUAGCUCACUGGUCGAGUCGGCCUGCGCGGAAGAUGUAACGGGGCUAAAACCAUGCACCGAAGCUGCGGCAGCGACACUAUGUGUUGUUGGGUAGGGGAGCGUUCUGUAAGCCUGUGAAGGUGGCCUGUGAGGGCUGCUGGAGGUAUCAGAAGUGCGAAUGCUGACAUAAGUAACGAUAAUGCGGGUGAAAAACCCGCACGCCGGAAGACCAAGGGUUCCUGUCCAACGUUAAUCGGGGCAGGGUGAGUCGACCCCUAAGGCGAGGCUGAAAAGCGUAGUCGAUGGGAAACAGGUUAAUAUUCCUGUACUUGGUGUUACUGCGAAGGGGGGACGGAGAAGGCUAUGUCAUCCGGGCGACGGUUGUCCCGGUUUAAGCGUGAAGGUGGGUGGACCAGGCAAAUCCGGUCUGCUGUCAACACUGAGGCGUGAUGACGAGGCACUACGGUGCUGAAGUGACAGAUGCCCUGCUUCCAGGAAAAGCCUCUAAGCAUCAGGUAACAUUAAAUCGUACCCCAAACCGACACAGGUGGUCAGGUAGAGAAUACUCAGGCGCUUGAGAGAACUCGGGUGAAGGAACUAGGCAAAAUGGUGCCGUAACUUCGGGAGAAGGCACGCUCCUGUGGGUGAAGUCCCUCGCGGACGGAGCUGACGGGAGUCGCAGAUACCAGCUGGCUGCAACUGUUUAAUAAAAACACAGCACUGUGCAAACACGAAAGUGGACGUAUACGGUGUGACGCCUGCCCGGUGCCGGAAGGUUAAUUGAUGGGGUCAGCCGCAAGGCGAAGCUCUUGAUCGAAGCCCCGGUAAACGGCGGCCGUAACUAUAACGGUCCUAAGGUAGCGAAAUUCCUUGUCGGGUAAGUUCCGACCUGCACGAAUGGCGUAAUGAUGGCCAGGCUGUCUCCACCCGAGACUCAGUGAAAUUGAACUCGCUGUGAAGAUGCAGUGUACCCGCGGCAAGACGGAAAGACCCCGUGAACCUUUACUAUAGCUUGACACUGAACCUUGAGCCUUGAUGUGUAGGAUAGGUGGGAGGCUUUGAAGUGUGGACGCCAGUCUGCAUGGAGCCGACCUUGAAAUACCACCCUUUAAUGUUUGAUGUUCUAACCUGGGUCCGUAAUCCGGACU
rnacentral:rRNA from 1 species